UAGGGAAUAUUGGACAAUGGGGGCAACCCUGAUCCAGCCAUGCCGCGUGAGUGAAGAAGGCCCUCGGGUUGUAAAGCUCUUUUGUCCGGAAAGAAAAGCAUUCGGUGAAUACCCGGAUGUUCUGACGGUACCGGAAGAAUAAGCACCGGCUAACUUCGUGCCAGCAGCCGCGGUAAUACGAAGGGUGCAAGCGUUACUCGGAAUUACUGGGCGUAAAGCGUGCGUAGGGGGUUGUUUAAGUCUGAUGUGAAAGCCCUGGGCUCAACCUGGGAAUGGCAUUGGAAACUGGGCAGCUAGAGUGCGGUAGAGGGUAGUGGAAUUCCCGGUGUAGCAGUGAAAUGCGUAGAGAUCGGGAGGAACAUCUGUGGCGAAGGCGACUGCCUGGACCAGCACUGACACUGAGGCACGAAAGCGUGGGGAGCAAACA
rnacentral:rRNA from 1 species